UACGAAGGGGGCUAGCGUUGCUCGGAAUCACUGGGCGUAAAGCGCACGUAGGCGGCUUUUUAAGUCAGAGGUGAAAUCCUGGAGCUCAACUCCAGAACUGCCUUUGAUACUGGAGAGCUUGAGUCCGGGAGAGGUGAGUGGAACUGCGAGUGUAGAGGUGAAAUUCGUAGAUAUUCGCAAGAACACCAGUGGCGAAGGCGGCUCACUGGCCCGGUACUGACGCUGAGGUGCGAAAGCGUGGGGAGCAACAGG
rnacentral:rRNA from 1 species